GACGGCCUUAGGGUUGUAAAGCUCUUUCGUCCGGGACGAUAAUGACGGUACCUGAGAAGAAAGCCCCGGCUAACUACGUGCCAGCAGCCGCGGUAAUACGGGGGGGGCAAGCGUUGUUCGGAAUUACUGGGCGUAAAGGGCUCGUAGGCGGCCAACUAAGUCGGAUGUGAAAUCCCCAGGCUUAACCUGGGAACUGCAUCCGAUACUGGAUGGCUUGAAUUCGGGAGAGGGAUGCAGAAUUCCAGGUGUAGCGGUGAAAUGCGUAGAUAUCUGGAGGAAUACCGGUGGCGAAGGCGGCAUCCUGGACCGGCAUUGACGCUGAGGAGCGAAAGCCAGGGGAGCAAACGGGAUUAGAUACCCCGGUAGUCCUGGCCCUAAACGAUGAAUGCUUGGUGUAACGGGUAUCGAUCCCUGUUGUGCCGAAGCUAACGCAUUAAGCACUCCGCCUGGGGAGUACGGUCGCAAGACUGAAACUCAAAGGAAUUGACGGGGGCCCGCACAAGCGGCGGAGCAUGUGGUUUAAUUCGAAGCAACGCGAAGAACCUUACCAGGUCUUGACAUCCUCUGACAACCCUAGAGAUAGGGAGUUCCCCUUCGGGGGACAGAGUGACAGGUGGUGCAUGGUUGUCGUCAGCUCGUGUCGUGAGAUGUUGGGUUAAGUCCCGCAACGAGCGCAACCCUUGAUCUUAGUUGCCAGCAUUCAGUUG
rnacentral:rRNA from 1 species